UAUACNUGCAAGUCGAACGCGCAGCGAAAGGUGCUUGCACCUUUCAAGCGAGUGGCGAACGGGUGAGUAACACGUGGAUAACCUGCCUCAAGGCUGGGGAUAACAUUUGGAAACAGAUGCUAAUACCGAAUAAAACUUAGUAUCGCAUGAUACAAAGUUGAAAGGCGCUACGGCGUCACCUAGAGAUGGGUCCGCGGUGCAUUAGUUAGUUGGUGGGGUAAAGGCCUACCAAGACAAUGAUGCAUAGCCGAGUUGAGAGACUGAUCGGCCACAUUGGGACUGAGACACGGCCCAAACUCCUACGGGAGGCUGCAGUAGGGAAUCUUCCACAAUGGGCGAAAGCCUGAUGGAGCAACGCCGCGUGUGUGAUGAAGGCUUUAGGGUCGUAAAGCACUGUUGUAUGGGAAGAAAUGCUAGAAUAGGGAAUGAUUCUAGUUCGACGGUACCAUACCAGAAAGGGACGGCUAAAUAC
rnacentral:rRNA from 1 species